rnacentral:rRNA from 1 species
UGGGGAAUAUUGCGCAAUGGGGGAAACCCUGACGCAGCGACGCCGUGUGAGGGAAGAAGGCCUUCGGGUCGUAAACCUCUGUCGGGAGGGAAGAACCGCCGGUUUCCGAACAGGGAGCCGGUCUGACGGUACCUCCGAAGGAAGCGCCGGCUAACUCCGUGCCAGCAGCCGCGGUAAUACGGAGGGCGCGAGCGUUAAUCGGAAUCACUGGGCGUAAAGCGCGCGUAGGCGGCUUGAUAAGUCGGGCGUGAAAGCCCUCGGCCCAACCGAGGAACUGCGUUCGAUACUGUUAGGCUUGAGUCCUGGAGAGGGUGGCGGAAUUCCGGGUGUAGGAGUGAAAUCCGUAGAUAUCCGGAGGAACACCGGUGGCGAAGGCGGCCACCUGGACAGGUACUGACGCUG